rnacentral:rRNA from 1 species
GCCCAUGCAGUCGAGCGGAUGAGGGAGCUUGCUCCUGGAUUCAGCGGCGGACGGGUGAGUAAUGCCUAGGAAUCUGCCUGGUAGUGGGGGAUAACGUCCGGAAACGGGCGCUAAUACCGCAUACGUCCUGAGGGAGAAAGUGGGGGAUCUUCGGACCUCACGCUAUCAGAUGAGCCUAGGUCGGAUUAGCUAGUUGGUGGGGUAAAGGCCUACCAAGGCGACGAUCCGUAACUGGUCUGAGAGGAUGAUCAGUCACACUGGAACUGAGACACGGUCCAGACUCCUACGGGAGGCAGCAGUGGGGAAUAUUGGACAAUGGGCGAAAGCCUGAUCCAGCCAUGCCGCGUGUGUGAAGAAGGUCUUCGGAUUGUAAAGCACUUUAAGUUGGGAGGAAGGGCAGUAAGUUAAUACCUUGCUGUUUUGACGUUACCAACAGAAUAAGCACCGGCUAACUUCGUGCCAGCAGCCGCGGUAAUACGAAGGGUGCAAGCGUUAAUCGGAAUUACUGGGCGUAAAGCGCGCGUAGGUGGUUCAGCAAGUUGGAUGUGAAAUCCCCGGGCUCAACCUGGGAACUGCAUCCAAAACUACUGAGCUAGAGUACGGUAGAGGGUGGUGGAAUUUCCUGUGUAGCG